CGCGCAGGUGGUUUCUUAAGUCUGAUGUGAAAGCCCACGGCUCAACCGUGGGAGGGUCAUUGGAAACUGGGAGACUUGAGUGCAGAAGAGGAAAGUGGAAUUCCAUGUGUAGCGGUGAAAUGCGUAGAGAUAUGGAGGAACACCAGUGGCGAAGGCGACUUUCUGGUCUGUAACUGACACUGAGGCGCGAAAGCGUGGGGAGCAAACAGGAUUAGAUACCCUGGUAGUCCACGCCGUAAACGAUGAGUGCUAAGUGUUAGAGGGUUUCCGCCCUUUAGUGCUGAAGUUAACGCAUUAAGCACUCCGCCUGGGGAGUACGGCCGCAAGGCUGAAACUCAAAUAAAUUGACGG
rnacentral:rRNA from 1 species